ensembl:lncRNA
AUCCCCCAUUCCAGCUUUAAUUAACAGUCGUCUGUUGGCUUUUAUUGACAGCUAAAGCAUAUUGCUCCGCACACUGUGCUUGGCCAUUAAGAGGAACAAUAAAAGCACAUAUAAAUAAAGAGGAUGGAGGACAAACCUCCAACGUAAAGGUGGUCGAAGGAAGAAUCACAAAAAAUACUUUGAUUAAAGUGUCGAAUAUGCUGUUCCCUUUGAACCUGAGCUUUCUUAUUUGUCUUUCAUCAUAUAUACUUUUUUUAAAAAGAUGCCAAAAAAGUUGGCAAUAACAUAUAUGUAACAAAGAAAUGCCUUUGCAGAGAUGCGUCCUCCUGGAGUUAGUCUCUAAAGCUUUAGUUAAUCGCAGACCUACAGCAUCAAACCAAAAACAACACAUUAGAAAAAACUGGAACCAGGAGUGUCUAGUUACACAAUCAGCACAAACACACACAUGUACCUGUGCUGCUUAACUAUGUUUGUUGUCAUAGAAACGGGAUCAAAGACAUUGUUUUUUUGUAUGUUCGCAGAGGCGUCCGCCUCUGAAUCAAAGAGCAUUAAGAGCCCAACAUACCGCUCCUCUCUGUACUCAUUUUCAUACGAGGGGUUGUAAACAGACAGAUAGCCCCCCCUCAUUCCGUGACUUCCUCUCAGUGAGGCAGUAAAAACAGGCUUCGUUCCUCAUUAUUGGUGCAGUUGGUUGUUGCUCCAGACAGCGGGAUCAAGUUGAGGUCAGCCAGGUCGCUGUGUGUUGGUGCCUGUGCGGACCCCCUCACCUGGCACCCGAGUGUGCCAGGUCCCACCUCGGCGUGUUUAUGGCGCCGACGCGCAGCGAUUCCUCUCCCUGUCGGGGUCGCAGCGAGGUCGGCGCAGCUCAGGUGUCCACAUUUAAACACAAAACGCAGGUAUUACGUGCUGUAUUUUUACACUUAAGUGCACUAUUAGUCUGUAAGUGUGAGGCAGGACUCUGACUGCAUGUUAUUGACUCACAAGUACAUAUGUCGCACAAAUCAACAUCGUGACAUCGUCAACAUCUCGUUCUGAAUUCAGGGUCCAGACUCCUCUCAGUUCAUUAACUGUUUUUGUUCCUUUAUCCAGGGAAGACCACACAUAAUCAGAUCUUUUCUUGUCUGCGUAUCAAACUAUCAAAGUGUACUCAUCUCAAAGAAAGGAAGACACGGUUGACACCUGAGUGGAAUUGUUGGUUUGGGCUUCAGGCCGAAGCGUGAAAAGACCAGAGGAGAUGUGACGAGAAGCCUUACAAGUGACGGCGUGGGAGUGCGCGCCAGCAACCGUUCGGACCCUCUCACUGUGGCAUGGAUCCAGAGACCUUCAGUAUCCCGUUUCACAGUGUGUGUGUGUGUGUGUGUGUGUGUGUGUGUGUGUGUGUUUGUGUAUGUGUUUGUGUGUGUUCACUUUGUUUCACGGUGUGGGUUUUUUGGAGCGGAAGGAGCUGCUGUACAAGUACUUGACUUUAAACUUUUUUAGGUGUGGGAGUUUUUUGUUGUCAAAAGGGAAUGUGAACAAAAGUUCAUAUUCCUGCAAAAAUAAAACACAUGUAUUUGCUGUUUUAGCUAAUAUCAGGCGAUUAAGUAUGUGUGGAUACAAGAGGAAAAGACAAAGACACAGGAAGUGAGGGCAAAAGUGAGAUUGAUCCACUCUUUGGAUGUUACAAAAUGCUGUUUUAGUAUCACUUCACAGCAGCUGUGCUCUCAUAUCGCUUCCAUCCCAGGAAAACAUAGACUCUGUAAAAUGUGGAAAUCACCUGGGUGACGCCUCCUGAAGGUUUCAGAAGAGCACUUGCGAAGCUCAAAGCUGUUCGUUAUAAAGUAAAUCACUCCAUGGAUAUUAAAACCUUUAUUUUUUGUACCAGACUGUAAAGAUACCUCUUUUUGCUGUGAAUUUGGGCAUUUUAACAUGGGCACUGUCAUACUUUCGGAUACAGCCUCAAGUGGCCAUUUGGGAAACUGCAGUUUUCAACACUUCAAAUAGCGCCUUUGUGGCCGGACCGCUCCUGAAGAAGCUAGCGCAGAUGCUGCAACAGCAUCCAUUGUAUCAGAGUAUCUCUUCGCGGAAAGAAGAACAAAGAACGGCACCGUCUGAGAUUGAGAUUGAUUGCUCAUCCAAUCGCCUGCCAGAUAUCUUUUGUUUUCCAGACGGCCUCUCGGAUUGCUUGGAUCUGGCGGGUCCGGUUAGUUUCGGUGUAAAUGGAAGGGCUUAACUGGACUACAGUUACAGAUUUAGUGGGCUUAGCGUGGAUGUGAGGGAGCAGGCGUGUGCGGGUCUUUGUGAAGUGCCAGCUGGCGGGCCUCUCAACAGCGCGUCACCGACCCCACCUGUGCUCCACACAUUCCUCCACCCGGAACCUCCUUGUCCCGCUCAACCCGGCACCUCCGGCGAUAAAGUGAGAUGUGAGGCUGCCGACCUGUUCAUGUCACUGUAUUUUUGUUAUUCUGACAGGUAGCACAUGCUGUACUCGCUGUCACCGUAAAUCAGAUCACCUGGACGACAUGUACUCAUUCGUGAAUGAAAGCCGAUGAAAUAGUGUCUGACUAAUUCCAUGGCAAAGAAACCUGAACACAAUAAGCGAAUAGAAAAAUAUCCAUAUAUGUCAAUACAGAAAAUAACUUCUUCAAAGGACAAAUUGUUCUUGCUUUAUAGCGGUGCACUGCAAAAAAGAACGUGAAGUACGACCUUGCCCUUUCUUUACUGCAGGCCAGUUGUCUGUUUUGACACUCUUUCACAACACUAAUCUUUGUCCUGCAUUCGUUACACAACGGGGAUGCUAUGGCCUGCAGCUAAUCUGGGAAAGAAUGCAGACAGAUGUAUUAUUGGCUGAGGAGAAUUUACUUGCUGUCAUGAUAUACUCUAAGAACAGAGGUUGUUCUUAGUUUACUUAGUCAUGGCAGCCUUUAAGCACAUAGUCAAAACGAGUCAACCGUCGUUAAGGGUUGACCAGGCAUGAGUGGUGAAUCGACAAAUUGUGAUGAUGGACGGUUAAAGAAACCCUUUUUGUUAUAGAAAAAAAUUAUGGUUUUACAAGAAGAGAGCUCGGCCAAAUACCUCUUAGAGUAGAUGGUGUUAUUUAACAACGGUCCCGUCAGGGAGGUUGAAACACAUAUAAAGUAAGCUUAAGACUUACCUCUUUGACUAUGCUUAUUGUUAGGACUUGUUGACGUUAUAGUUUAAGGCUGGUUCAGGUUUAUAGUAAGGGCUGGUUCAGGUUCAUAGUGAAGGACUGGUUCAGGUUCAUAGAAAGGACUGGUUCAGGUUUAUAGUAACGACUGGUUCAGGUUUAUAGUAACGACUGGUUCAGGUUCAUAGUAAGGGCUGGUUCAGGUUCAUAGUAAGGGCUGGUUUAGGUUCAUAGUAAGGGCUGGUUCAGGUUCAUAGUAAGAACUGGCUAAGGUUUAUAGUAAGGGCUGGUUCCGGUCUAAAUCUGUGUUUGAUUACUGGUCUUUGACGAUGAGGGCGAGAUUGUGAUUGUCUCAUUGAACAUAUACUUUAAGGCUUUGAGAUGUGAGAUGAAUGAGAUUUCGGUACAUCUUUGCAUUAUAAAUCCUGAUAAUCGGGAGAAUAUAUAACCCGUCACAUGAACUAAAAUGGACCAGACUCCAUUCAGCUCCUCUCAGACUCAAUAGAGCAGCCACCACCUUUAUCUUUUCAUCCUGAGGUGACUCAAUUCUUUCUGUCAACUCAAAAGCCGACCUCUUGACCCCGAAGUGACCCCUGCCACCCCUCACCAGGCAUGCUGAAAGGACCACAGGAAGAAAGAACCGCCGCCUCACAGCCUGCAGGGAGCCCCUGACCUCUAACCCCAAACACCCCUCCUCUCUGUUUUUUUUUUUUUUUUUUCACACUCUGAGGUGAUGUUUUUUCCACGCCAUUUGUCCCGGUGCUCUCAUGCACACUCCUGUGUUAUCUUUGGGCCAGCACAAGACCUGUGGCCUCAACAGUUCCAUCAGGGUGCAACCUGAUUUAUUCUUAUAUCAAUAAAACCAUCCAAUGUGAAUGUUCUUGCCACAAAUUAACUGAAAUGGAAAUUCUUUACAAUGACUACAUGCAUAAGUGAGCUUUGGUUAGGUUGGCCACAUAAUACACAGAGUUUACAGUAAAAUGAUGCAACACUUGACCCCGGGGUCAGGCGUUGUCAAAUAAAUGCUCAAUUGCUCUAACACUUGAAACAAGCCAGGUCAAGAUGUCUUUGAAUUUCUUUUCUUUUUUGCCAAUAAACGUGUUUCAACAUCAUUAGACCCUUGCUGAUACCUGACACAGCUGCUGUGUUGGCCGUUAAGAAUUCACCCAUUCACCCAAGAUAUGCUCGGUCUGAAUGGUGCCAUUACAAACAUAAAUAUUAUUUGAAAUCUUAAUAGUACUGAUAGUAGAAUAAUAGUAAUAAUAAUAGUAAUCUUCAAAGAAAUGAAAGUAGCUUAAACCUGAGCUUUGGACUUUUGAAAAAAAUGUCUUGUAGAAUAUUCAAAAUGAUUGGUUGUUUAUUCCAUUUACAUCUGCAAGUUUUUGCUUUGAUUUGGUCUGGUGUUGUCGAUCUGUAGUCUGGAUUUGGUUUGGAUUCUGGAUUUGGUUAAAUAAAUAAUCAGUGUUUACUUUGAUCGUCGGCUGCUGAUUUAUCGACGUCUUGACCAUCAACUUCUAAUAACAAGUGAGAGUGCCAAGUGAGAGUGGAAAUGACCGUUCUGCGUAAUGGCCAAACAUCUCCAUGUCUUUUCAUUCACUAGUACCCCCUGUACUCGCUGAUACCCCCAAACACGCCCCCACCUUUUCCUUCAAUCUAGGUCAGCUUCUCCCUCAUUACAAUUCAACUUUCUCUCACAUUGAAAAUGCAAAACCAAAUCGCAGAAAGCUGAAGGAGCCUCGGGAGGAGGUGGAAGGAAUGGAAAGAAAAAACCCCGGGGAUUACUGCCCCGCAUUGUCCCGCCGCUAAUCCCUCCUCCUCAUCACACACACACACACACACACACACACACACACACACACACACACACACACACACAGAAGGAAAAAAAACAUUUGACACCUUUCAGAAGCUCAGCUCGACACUUCCAGUCACUCCCACACACUCAGGGUUACUCAAAGUCACACAAACAUUCACACGCACACACAGAUCCACAGCGUUUCCUCGCUCUGUCCGCUUGUGCUUCUCAGACAGCAUGAAAUCCUCCCCACAUCGGUGGUGGGCCCCCCCCCCCCCGCCUCUCUUCCCUCCUCGCUUUCAUCCAUUCUCCAUGGCUCCGCCUCCCUUCGGGGGCGCCAUAGGGCUUUUGUGCAGAUCGAUGGCCCGUGGCUAGCCUGGAAGAAGGGGUUAUACAGAGUGCACCAUACUCACUGAUGCAGGAGUUUAGGGGCUUUUAUGAAGAGGGGGGUAUUUAAAUCUCUCAUCCAGGACUUUUCAUCUUCUGUGUGGCUUCCUGUUUGACUAACCAGCCAAUAGCCCUCGAGUCACUCCAGAUUUAAAACACACAUAAUCCAAGUCGGAGAUGAGAGACAGAUCUAUUGAAGUAAAAGGUUGAAAAGAUUCAAAAUGUUACUUUAGUAGAAGUUUUAAACUAAAAAGGUAAGGGUUGUUGUUCUUUUCUUUUUUGUCAUUUAAAUAAAUGCAGUAAAAAUGAACUGAUUUAACAAACACAGUGCAUGUGUAUUCAUGGCUUAAUAUCUUCUUCCUUGGUGCAUAAAUGAGCCCAACUGUCGCCAUUUUUGUUGGCUCACAUCAACGUUAAAUGACUUAACUUCAACAUUGUUGCUUUGCUCCUCUCCUCAGGUGAGGUGCGAGCUUGGUGACCUUUUGACUCGCACCCUUUCCCCUGCUUCUCAUUUUGAAACCAUUUGUUCUCGGUUCCUUUUUUCCUUUUCACUGCCCUCUUCCCCCCCACGUUCCACUCUCUGGGGCAGUUAAAAUGCAGCUGCCGCCAUCAGAUCUCCAUUAUCCAGCCCCGGGGGCAACGAAGGAGAGGAAUUGGGAUGAGAAUUGAGUGUUCGGGAUGAUAUUUUAGCAUUUCUGGGAAGCUGUGGGUGUAGAUCGCUCAAACAGGUGUUACGUUUGUAAAGUUACUCUGAUCUUCUGUGGAUCUUCCUCCUCCAUGAUGCCUAACCCCCAGCCAACGUUCUCCAUUCCCAGAACUCUUAGUGAUUUGAACAGGAGACCUGUACUAUGCAGUUGAUUCAUUUAGUGACUAAGAGACGACCCUCUCCGGUACUUUAACGUUCACAUCCUGUGAAGAAAAGAAAAAUGGUGCUUGAUCAUUUGAUGGUGGAGUACCACUUUAAAGAGAAAAAGCACACCGCAUGACACCAAACAGAGAUUCACCCGACAGUCGUUAUGAAAACAAAAAGACGAAUAACGCGGACGAUAUUCCCUCGCCAAUCGUUUCAUAACCUCGACCAGCUGAACUCUGCCGGGCCGCCACGCAUCCGGCUCGAAUGCCGGCCUCUCCGUCUCACUCCUCGGGAUCAAUUUGGCCGAGUUGAAAUAGGGGUCGAGGCAAUUUAACACUCGUCCUGCAUUUUAAACCAGGGGAGGAAGUCUCAGGGCCGGCCAGGUGGCGGUCAAUUCAGUCAGGGCCGUCUGCAUUCCUGUGUGUGCUUGUAUUUUCUGAGCUGGGAGGGUUGACAGGAGACACUUUAUGUGCACGUUUCUGCAACCAGCAAACGUUGAAGGUCAAAGUUUCUAAACCAAAAAUAUGCUCCAUAAAACCGUUUUCAUUAACGUACUUCUAGUGUGCACCUUCCUGUGUGAGUCCAACAUUUGCGUGUGUAUAAUGUGUAUUUUUCCUCCCACGGUGUCACUAGAUGAUGCGUUUCAUUGAGAGAACUGCAGGUGAGGAGGUCCCUCUCCGCAAGAAGUCCACUGGGUCCAUGUGGGUAAUGUUGCAGACACACAAUGUUCAGGAUUUUAUCUCACGUGAACAUCAUAUGUUUGUUCAAUACUUUUGUUUUAAAAAUAGUAGAUAGAGCAGCUUUAAAAUAACCGCGUAUGAGUCUGCCUCGAGGGAACAGGCGGCUGGAGGGUGUGGAGGGGAGAUGGGCGGAGAAACCCAUGGCCCCCUCUUCCCCGUUCGCCUCGAGAGAAUUAACACCUGCACUUAGUGCACACUUGUCUUUUCUGGAUCCAGCCCUGACAAAUGCCCCCUUUUCAUUGUGUCAAACACAGGACUUUCACCCAGGUGAAUGCUGUUAGCAUCCCGUAACCAACGCGUCGACAUUCCACAAACUGAACUACCGUCACGCGGUACGCAAGAUUUGCAGGUAUUAACAUUGAAACUGGGGGGUCACAUGACUCUCCAUUAAUCCUCUAAGCCAGGGGUCUCAAACUGCGGGAGUCCGGCGUCCGGUGCGGCCCGCACCAACCGUAAUGGUCUGGCCCGCGUUCGGUCGAAGCGCGAAGUGAGUUUGAGACCUCUGCUCUAAGCCUAAACUCUCAGUGCAGUCUGAGCCGUCCUUUGGCUCAGUGCAUUGGGUCAUUGACACGUUUCUUUGAGAACUCGUCUCUUUCCGUCAGCACAAUAUAGCAUCACUUUGCUAAAUCCGCUCGAGUCCCUCUUUCCUUGGUGGUUUCACACGUCAUGGAUUCCGGGGGGGAAGAGGCGAGCCGUCGGCACAAAGAGGAUAUUGAUUUCACCACGCUUCCCCUUCUUACCUUUCACCUGAAUGUCACUCCGACAGAUUGCGACUGUUUCUUUGCAAAGAGAAGCGCUGGGUCGGAGGUUUUGGCGUCUUAGGAUGACGUCGACUCAGCUCAGGAAUUCCUUUAAAAAGGUGCGCUGUGGAAACAAAAAGCCUGUGUGUAGGUUCUGACAAAUGUGGUCGAAAUGUGGAAGCUGCAGAGACGGGCUCCGCGAGCAGAUGGGCAGUUUUUUGUACAGUGAAUUCCAUGUACAGGAAACAGAUUAAUGACUUUACCACUUUGUAGACACGACCCAAAGGAAAGAAACUCAAAGUGCUCAGAAUUAAAACUCUUUGCUUUUUCUUUAUGUGUGAAGAUUUGUUUUAUUAUUCUAUGAGCCCACAUAAUAGACUGUAUGUGUAUGCAUCGUCACAUACAAGACAGAUGUGAAUAUGUACUUUUGUUUAGUUAGAUGUUGAGUUAUUGCCUCCAACCAGAGACUAGAAGAGGUGGAUGUCACCUGUUGGCUCGUGGAAUGUUUUUUUAAAGACUCAAAGGUCUUUAAAAGGUCCAUGAAUUAAUCGUUUUGUUUUUCUUUUUGGAACCAGAAAGGGCAUGAGGAAUAAACAUUGUGUAUUUUCAAGGAUCAGAGUCUGUUUCUCAUUUAUUAAAAAAAGGUCUUGUAGAGGACAUCGUUGAAGCCCGGUUGACCUCAUGUGCAGCUCCACAAGCUGAUGCUGAAAAAAAACGAGCUCCUCGCCAUCCAUUCACCUCCUCCCUCCCACUCACAGCCAGCGAGGCUUCUUUCAGACCAAGGACGCCCAGCUCGCCCCCAUCCUGCCGGUUGAAUAUGAUGUGUAUUUACUUAUCCAGCCGCCGUUGGCCUGACAACUAAGCCUAAGGUGUGAUUCAACGAGGACGCACAGUAUGUUCUAUAUUUACAUACUUUUUCUGAGAAUAAGGAUAUAAUUGCUCUUGAUAGCACAGCGAGAUAAAUGAGGAGGGAGAAGAUGUUGCAGCGGUUCCAGAACAGGUUUGAAUUUUCACAGAACUCCAGUUAUUGGGACUGACACUUUCCAUCAGAGCUUCAUAUGAAAUAACAAACUUCCUUUAUUUUAUUGAAUGCCAUGGUCAUCUUCAAAGAAUCUCUGAUAACAUAUUUGGAGGACAUGGUUACUAAGGCAAUGAAAAGACUUAAUAUGCAGCCUUGCAUUCUGUUUGAUCUAAUUUCUUCCUUUAUCUGUUUUGGAUACCAGUGAAGUGGAGGGAGACACAUCAGACGAACGGGGUCAAAAUGUAAUUUAUACGUGUAGAGUGCAGCUCUUAAGUCUCCAACGCACACCUGUCACCUGUAGCCCCCAUCAGCUACUUCCUAAAGAAGACAAACUAAAGCUGCAUCAAUGUUUCAUGAUGAAUUACAGUAUUUACCUCAUGCAAAUGUCAAAGUCUUCAUACCUGGCCGUCAACAACAACAACUCAAGUUGUGACAGCCAGAAAUGGCCAGUGCAGUUAGCAUCACAUGCGAGGUGCAUUUUGGGUCUAUUUUGGUGGAUGUCAACCAUCCUGUGAAGUUUUCUGUUUGUCAUCCAACAGUCGGUGAAGUGUGCUGGGGAUGAUGAAGUGCCAUUUCCUCCCACUGUCUCCCUUAUUAGCUCUCUCUCCCCUCUCAGUUGUGUCAGCAGCAUUACUCAUACCUGGGCCGGGUGCACACCGGGCUGCCAGGCCUGGAUCCGCCUUAAUCACCCACUUCCACUUCCUGUUCCUCGACCUGCCAACAGCUCGCCGUGGGCGGACGCUGAUGACGGGAAACGGCACAGCCGCACCAGCGAGAGAGGCGGAAGGAGGCGCUCUGGGCGACUGGGAUGUUAUUAUAGUUUCACUGAUGGGGGGGGGGUCGACCGGGUGGAGAAGCGCGGGCGACCGAG